rnacentral:lncRNA from 1 species
CUACGUCGUACAUCACUAGACAGCAUACUCGAAUAAAAGUCAGUCCAGAAACAGAGGGACAGUCUAUUUCAGCACACUCGACCUCUACAUCGGAUGGUAGACCGUAAAAUACACCACGCGUGACGGCAGGAAGCGGCAUAUUGCUAAUCUGAAAUGUGGGUCCCCAAAGGGGUGAGUACAACCACUCAGCAGAUAAGGAAUCCAAUAACAACUCAAUGCACCAUGCAAAUCAUACAUGCAUUGCAGACAUUACUUACCUUGAAGCCAUGCGCAUACUAUCAUGCAU